rnacentral:tRNA from 1 species
GCCUCGGUUGCCUAGCCAGGUUAAGGCACCGUCUUGGUAAGGCGGAGAUCGCGGGUUCGAAUCCCGCCCGAGGCU